rnacentral:rRNA from 1 species
UACGAAGGGGGGCUAGCGUUGCUCGGAAUCACUGGGCGUAAAGGGUGCGUAGGCGGGUCUUUUAAGUCAGGGGUGAAAUCCUGGAGCUCAACUCCAGAACUGCCUUCGAUACUGGCGAUCUUGAGUCCGGAAGAGGUGAGUGGAACUCCUAGUGUAGAGGUGGAAUUCGUAGAUAUUAGGAAGAACACCAGUGGCGAAGGCGGCUCACUGGUCCGGUACUGACGCUGAGGUGCGAAAGCGUGGGGGAGCAAACAGG